GGUUGAUCCUGCCAGUAGUCAUAUGCUUGUCUCAAAGAUUAAGCCAUGCAUGUCUAAGUACAAGCCUCAGUAAGGUGAAACCGCGAAUGGCUCAUUAAAUCACACCUAAUCUACUGGAAAGUUACUAGUUACUUGGAUAACUGAGGUAAUUCUUGAGCUAAUACAUGCGAAAAAUCUCGACUCACGGAGAGAUGCUUUUAUUAGAUCAAAACCAAACGGCUUCGGCCGUCUCAUUGGUGACUCUGAAUAACUUUGGGCUGAUCGUAUGGCCUUGUGCCGACGACGUUUCCUU
rnacentral:rRNA from 1 species